rnacentral:ribozyme from 1 species
UUUCUUUUUUUCUUUCUUUUAACUCUUUUUUUUUCCCAAAAAGGGAGAGGGGAGGUGGACGCUGCAGUAAUAUAUU